ACUAAUUGGAGCCAUAAGUUGGGCAGAGUGUGUGAGAGGAGGCGCGGACGAGUGUGUGAGAGGAGGCGCGGACGAGUGUGUGAGAGGAGGCGCGGACGAGUGUGUGAGAGGAGGCGCGGACGAGUGUGUGAGAGGAGGCGAGGGACGAGUGUGUGAGAGGAGGCGAGGACGAGUGUGUGAGAGGAGGCGAGGACGAGUGUGUGAGAGGAGGCGAGGACGAGUGUGUGAGAGGAGGCGUGGACGAAGAGGCGCGGACGAGUGUGUGAGAGGAGGCGUGGACGAGUGUGUGAGAGGUGGCGCGGACGAGUGUGUGACUGAGUGAGAGAUGGCGUGAACUAGUGUGUGACUGAGUGAGAGUUGGCGUGAACUAGUGUGUGACUGAGUGAGAGUUGGCGUGGACUAGUGUGUGACUGAGAGGUGGCGUGUGUGACUGAGUGAGAGUUGGCGUGGACUAGUGUGUGACUGUGUGAGAGGUGGCGUGGACUAGUGUGUGACUGAGUGAGAGUUGGCGUGAACUAGUGUGUGACUGAGAGGUGGCGUGUGUGACUGAGUGAGAGUUGGCGUGGAGGUGUGUGUGACUGUGUGAGAGGUGGCGUGGACGAGUGU
ensembl:lncRNA